rnacentral:rRNA from 1 species
GGAAUAUUGCGCAAUGGAGGCAACCCUGACGCAGCCAUGCCGCGUGCAGGAAGAAGGCGCUACGCGUUGUAAACUGCUUUUAUCCGGGAAGAAACCCCCAUACGUGUAUGGGGUUGACGGUACCGGAGGAAUAAGCACCGGCUAACUUCGUGCCAGCAGCCGCGGUAAUACGAAGGGUGCAAGCGUUAUCCGGAUUCAUUGGGUUUAAAGGGUGCGUAGGCGGAGCGUUAAGUCAGUGGUGAAAUCCUGCAGCUCAACUGUAGACUUGCCAUUGAUACUGGCGUUCUUGAGUGCGCUUGAAGUAGGCGGAAUGUGCCGUGUAGCGGUGAAAUGCUUAGAUAUGGCACAGAACACCAAUUGCGAAGGCAGCUUACUAAGGCGAUACUGACGCUGAGGCACGAAAGCGUGGGGAUCGAAC